rnacentral:rRNA from 1 species
CGUAGGGUGCGAGCGUUAAUCGGAAUUACUGGGCGUAAAGCGUGCGCAGGCGGUUUUGUAAGACAGAUGUGAAAUCCCCGGGCUCAACCUGGGACCUGCAUUUGUGACUGCAAGGCUAGAGUACGGUAGAGGGGGAUGGAAUUCCGCGUGUAGCGGUGAAAUGCGUAGAUAUGCGGAGGAACACCGAUGGCGAAGGCAAUCCCCUGGACCUGUACUGACGCUCAUGCACGAAAGCGUGGGGAGCAAACAGGAUUAGAUACCCUGGUAGUCCACGCCCUAAACGAUGUCAACUGGUUGUUGGGUCUUUACUGACUCAGUAACGAAGCUAACGCGUGAAGUUGACCGCCUGGGGAGUACGGCCGCAAGGUUG